rnacentral:misc_RNA from 1 species
CUCGUCCAUCUCAAGUCUGGUCUUCUUGAGAGCGACGAGUUGGCCAGUGGUUUUGUCCUUAGCCUUGUAGACCUUGCCGUAGGUGCCUUCCCCCACCUUCUCGAGCUUCUCAUACUUGUCCAUGGUUGGUUUCUGCGUCUUUCUUCUGAGUAAAACCUAGAAUUGAAGCGUCUCAAGGGAGAGAGGAGGAGGAGUGGACUUUGAAAUUCAAAUUUAUAAGACAAAGGAGGGAAGCCCAGAUCUUGUAUAACGGAUGGGAGCGUCCCUGCUCAUUUCUCUUUUAUUUGAAUUUUAAAAUCUUUGUAUUAUUACUAUACCUCCUUCAUUGCUAUUUUCUUUU